GGAGUUGAAGAAGACAAUUCAGACUUCCAGUGGAAUUCUAGUUGGAAACAUCAUUUGAAAAAAGUGAUAAUUUACAAAUUUGUGGCUAAUAAUGAUGUCCAAGAGACUGUGGUAAACUUCUUCCUCGAGAAUGACAUAAAGGUGGAAACAAUAUCUGACCUGAAAGGGGAGAAAUAUUUGUGUUCCAAAAUAAAGCAACAUUAGUUGAAGAAGAGGAGUCAGACUUUCGGUGGCAUUAUUGUUGGAGACACCAUUUGAGAAAAGUGAUAAUUGACAAAUUUGAAGUUAAACUUCUUCGAGAAUGACAUAAUGGUGGAAACAAUUUCUGACCUUUAAUGUAACUUAGGAAAUAUUUGUAGUGAGUUUUCUCUCUAUUUAUUUUGGAAAGAGAAAUGCUGAAUAAUUCUGGUUUUAUAUUCCUCAUGUUAACAAAUAAUAAAAACUGGGUACCAGUUAAUUUAUGAUGACAAUUUAAUUUUC